rnacentral:rRNA from 1 species
UACGUAGGGUGCGAGCGUUAAUCGGAAUUACUGGGCGUAAAGCGUGCGCAGGCGGUUUUGUAAGCCCGAUGUGAAAGCCCCGGGCUUAACCUGGGAAUGGCAUUUGGGACUGCAAGGCUGGAGUUUGGCAGAGGAGACUGGAAUUCCUGGUGUAGCAGUGAAAUGCGUAGAUAUCAGGAGGAAUACCGAUGGCGAAGGCAGGUCUCUGGGCUAUAACUGACGCUCAUGCACGAAAGCGUGGGGAGCAAACAGG